rnacentral:rRNA from 1 species
CCUACGGGUGACUGCAGUCGAGAAUCAUUCACAAUGGGGGAAACCCUGAUGGUGCGACGCCGCGUGGGGGAAUGAAGGUCUUCGGAUUGUAAACCCCUGUCAUGUGGGCGCAAAUUAAAAAGAUAGUACCACAAGAGGAAGAGACGGCUAACUCUGUGCCAGCAGCCGCGGUAAUACAGAGGUCUCAAGCGUUGUUCGGAAUCACUGGGCGUAAAGCGUGCGUAGGCUGUUUCGUAAGGCGGGGGUGAAAGGCGCGGGCUCAACCCGCGGACGGCACAUGAUACUGCGAGACUAGAGUGAUGGAGGGGGAACCGGAAUUCUCGGUGUAGCAGUGAAAUGCGUAGAUAUCGGGAGGAACACUCGUGGCGAAGGCGGGUUCCUGGACAUUAACUGACGCUGAGGCACGAAGGCCAGGGGAGCGAAAGGGAUUAGAUACCCUGGUAGUC